rnacentral:rRNA from 1 species
UACGUAGGGUGCAAGCGUUGUUCGGAAUUACUGGGCGUAAAGCGCGCGUAGGCGGGCUUGAAAGUUGAUUGUGAAAGCCCUGGGCUUAACCCGGGAAUGGCAGUCAAAACUUCAAGUCUUGAGUGCCUGAGAGGAUGGCGGAAUUCCCGGUGUAGUAGUGAAAUACGUAGAUAUCGGGAAGAACACCUGAGGCGAAGGCGGCUACUCGUGGCGGUGCAGCUGACGCUGAGGCGCGAAAGCGUGGGGAGCAAACAGG